rnacentral:rRNA from 1 species
AUAGCGGAGGAAAAGAAACCAACAGGGAUUGCCCUAGUAACGGCGAGUGAAGCGGCAACAGCUCAAAUUUGAAAUCUGGCUUCGGCCCGAGUUGUAAUUUGCAGAGGAUGUUUCUGGCGCGGUGCCUUCCGAGUUCCCUGGAACGGGACGCCAAAGAGGGUGAGAGCCCCGUAUGGUUGGACACCAAGCCUGUGUGAAACUCCUUCAACGAGUCGAGUAGUUUGGGAAUGCUGCUCUAAAUGGGAGGUAAAUCUCUUCUAAAGCUAAAUACCGGCCAGAGACCGAUAGCGCACAAGUAGAGUGAUCGAAAGAUGAAAAGCACCUUGAAAAGGGGGUUAAAUAGUACGUGAAAUUGUUGAAAGGGAAGCACUUAUGACCAGACUUGGGCCGGGCGGCUCAUCAGGGGUUCUCCCCUGUGCACUCCGCCCGGCACAGGCCAGCAUCGGUUUUCGCGGGGGGAUAAGACCGUCAGGAACGUAGCACCUCUCGGGGUGUGUUAUAGCCUGGCGGACGAUACCCUCGCGGGGACCGAGGUUCGCGCUCCGCAAGGAUGCUGGCGUAAUGGUCAUCAGUGACCCGUCUUGAAACACGGACCAAGGAGUCGUCCAUUAGAGCGAGCGUUUGGGUGUAAAACCCGCACGCGUAAUGAAAGUGAACGCAGGUGAGAGCUUCGGCGCAUCAUCGACCGAUCCUGAUGUUCUCGGAAGGAUUUGAGUAAGAGUUUUAACGGACGGACCCGAAAGACAGUGAACUAUGCUUGUAUAGGGUGAAGCCAGAGGAAACUCUGGUGGAGGCUCGCAGCGGUUCUGACGUGCAAAUCGAUCGUCAAAUAUGAGCAUGGGGGCGAAAGACUAAUCGAACUGUCUAGUAGCUGGUUCCGCG